rnacentral:rRNA from 1 species
UGCCUUACACAUGCAAGUCGAACGGUAACAGGUUAAGCUGACGAGUGGCGAACGGGUGAGUAAUAUAUCGGAACGUGCCCAGUCGUGGGGGAUAACUGCUCGAAAGAGCAGCUAAUACCGCAUACGACCUGAGGGUGAAAGCGGGGGAUCGCAAGACCUCGCGCGAUUGGAGCGGCCGAUAUCAGAUUAGGUAGUUGGUGGGGUAAAGGCCCACCAAGCCAACGAUCUGUAGCUGGUCUGAGAGGACGACCAGCCACACUGGGACUGAGACACGGCCCAGACUCCUACGGGAGGCAGCAGUGGGGAAUUUUGGACAAUGGGCGCAAGCCUGAUCCAGCCAUGCCGCGUGCGGGAAGAAGGCCUUCGGGUUGUAAACCGCUUUUGUCAGGGAAGAAAAGGUUCUGGUUAAUACCUGGGACUCAUGACGGUACCUGAAGAAUAAGCACCGGCUAACUACGUGCCAGCAGCCGCGGUAAUACGUAGGGUGCAAGCGUUAAUCGGAAUUACUGGGCGUAAGGCGUGCGCAGGCGGUUAUGCAAGACAGAGGUGAAAUCCCCGGGCUCAACCUGGGAACUGCCUUUGUGACUGCAUGGCUAGAGUACGGUA